AGAGUUUGAUCCUGGCUCAGGAUGAACGCUGGCGGCGUGCCUAACACAUGCAAGUCGAGCGAGAAAUCCCGAAAAGAUUCUUCGGAAGAUUUAAGGGAUGGAUAGCGGCGGACGGGUGAGUAACGCGUGGGCAACCUGCCCCUCACUGAGGGAUAGCCGAGGGAAACUUCGAGUAAUACCUCAUAACGCAUAACCGUUGCAUAGCGGAUAUGCCAAAGAUUUAUCGGUGAGGGAUGGGCCCGCGUCUGAUUAGCCAGUUGGUGAGGUAGCGGCUCACCAAAGCGACGAUCAGUAGCCGGCCUGAGAGGGCGGACGGCCACAUUGGAACUGAGACACGGUCCAGACUCCUACGGGAGGCAGCAGUGGGGAAUAUUGCACAAUGGGGGAAACCCUGAUGCAGCGACGCCGCGUGAAGGAAGAAGGCCUUCGGGUCGUAAACUUCUGUCCUAGGGGAAGAAGAACUGACGGUACCCUUGGAGGAAGCCCCGGCUAACUACGUGCCAGCAGCCGCGGUAAUACGUAGGGGGCAAGCGUUAUCCGGAAUUACUGGGCGUAAAGAGUGCGUAGGCGGCUUUUUAAGCGCGGGGUUUAAGCCAACGGCCCAACCGUUGUUCGCCCCGCGAACUGAAGGGCUUGAGUACAGGAGAGGAAGGCGGAAUUCCCUAGUGUAGCGGUGAAAUGCGUAGAUAUUAGGAGGAACACCGGUGGCGAAGGCGGCCUUCUGGACUGAAACUGACGCUGAGGCACGAAAGCGUGGGUAGCAAACAGGAUUAGAUACCCUGGUAGUCCACGCCGUAAACGAUGAGCACUAGNNNNNGGGCUCGAGAGAGUUCGGUGCCGCAGCUAACGCAUUAAGUGCUCCGCCUGGGGAGUACGCACGCAAGUGUAAAACUCAAAGGAAUUGACGGGGACCCGCACAAGCAGCGGAGCAUGUGGUUUAAUUCGAAGCAACGCGAAGAACCUUACCAGGGCUUGACAUCCUCCUGACGGAUCGGGUAAUGCUGAUCUUCUCUUCGGAGCGGGAGUGACAGGUGGUGCAUGGUUGUCGUCAGCUCGUGUCGUGAGAUGUUGGGUUAAGUCCCGCAACGAGCGCAACCCCUGCUGUCAGUUGCCAUCAUUCAGUUGGGCACUCUGACGGGACUGCCGGGGACAACCCGGAGGAAGGCGGGGAUGACGUCAAAUCAUCAUGCCCCUUAUGUUCUGGGCGACACACGUGCUACAAUGGCCGGCACAAAGGGCCGCGAAGGAGCGAUCCGGAGCAAAUCCUCAAAGCCGGUCCCAGUUCGGACUGCAGGCUGAAACCCGCCUGCACGAAGUCGGAGUUGCUAGUAAUCGUGGAUCAGCAUGCCACGGUGAAUGCGUUCCCGGGUCUUGUACACACCGCCCGUCACACCAUGGAAGCCGGGGGUGCCCGAAGUCGGUACGCAAGGCUGCCUAAGGCAAAACCGGUGACUGGGGUGAAGUAGUAACAAGGUAACCGUA
rnacentral:rRNA from 1 species